rnacentral:lncRNA from 1 species
CAGAAGUAGCAGCAGCAAGAGUAGCGCCAGCAACGUCCAAACACAAACCUCCCGUGUUGGUAAGUGCAUUGUCUCAACUUUCGCCAUGACAAACUCCUGUGGUGUUUUCUUGUUCAAAAUCGGUGCAUUUUCAGUAGUUUCAUUCUUGCUUCCGUAUUCACAUUUGCUGUUUAUGUAAUCGCAUUCUGUUGUGGCCAUCUUGUUGGCAUUCAUUACUUUGAGUUCAUGUGAUAAAGCCUCUAUCAUAUCUGCUGGCCAAAUUGCUUCGACAUUGGAUUCCCU